GCUGCCUGAUAUCAAUCAAUCGAGGGAAAUUACGACAACUUCACGCAUUGCUGGGUAAGAUGUACAACAUCAUUUCGACUUUAAUUAGUUUCCUUUUAUGUUGAAGCCUGAAGGACAUAAGAGGUUUGUGCAAAGCAAGUUCCGUGUCCAUCGGAUUUGAAAGGUGUUCGGAGCAGAGGAGGAGAAGAGCGAGUAAAAAUUUUCGGCGGAGAAGAGGAUGGUUUCUCUCUCUCUCUCUUUCUCUCUCUCGCUCUGUGUGUGCGUGUGGUCGCAAUGAGGGUGUAGUAGGGAGUCGAGGAGGAUGGGAAAUUGCUGCUCGGACCGGGUGGGCACCGGAGCAGGAGAGACAGGCGGCAGUGGAGGAGUGGUGGCCAACAAUGCCGUCGAUUGUUUCCUCAGGGGGCGUGGUGCUCUAUUCGCAGAUGGGGGGGACCCUUGCUGCUGCUUCAAGUGAACGCUUGCAUCUUUCGCUUCAGCUGUGACUUCUCAUUCUCCAACAGUGGUAUCAGAGCUAGGGUUAUCGAUCUCAAAAUGUUGAAUUGAUCUCUGUGAAACGGAAAUGACUGAGCUACUCAGCAAUUUCUGAGGAAGUUUCAGUGACAUUGACAAAUGAGAAAUUCAGACAGAAUGGGUAGCAAGAGAGAGAUGAUGGUGAAGAAAGAUGUGGGGAGCAGGUUCAGAAAAUUGGUGAAGCGAAGGAAAAAACAACAAAAGUAGUAUCUUUGAGUUAAAUUUUCAAUUCUUAGUGACCUAGACAGGGCUCUCUUAUCUAAACUCCAGAACAGAAACGAUAAGGUUUAACAUCUUUACUGUGCUGCCCUUAUGCUACAAAAGUGACUCUGAUGGGGAGAUUUUAGAUAAUAUAUUUUUCUUAUUAGUCUCAAAAAUACGUCUGAAUGUUCUUCCCUAUUCUGAGAGGGAAACUGCUGAUCCAUUUGAUCCCACCGACAAAAUUUCCUUGCAGCGUUCCUCUAGCCAAAUUAAGACCUCUGCUUAGGUUUUAUGCUAAUUGUUUGUUUGAUUGUAAAAGCACUUUGAACAUGUUUAUACGUGAGCCCUGCUAUUCACUUCAUCAUCCCUUAUCAUGCUCACGAGUUUCUAUGUUUCAUUAACUCUCAUAUUUUACCUUCAUAUAUAUGUCUCUGUGUGUGUGCAUAUAUUUUGAAUCCA